rnacentral:rRNA from 26 species
UAACAAGGUCUCCGUUGGUGAACCAGCGGAGGGAUCAUU